CAGCAGUGGGGAAUAUUGGACAAUGGGCGAAAGCCUGAUCCAGCCAUGCCGCGUGUGUGAAGAAGGUCUUCGGAUUGUAAAGCACUUUAAGUUGGGAGGAAGGGCAGUUACCUAAUACGUAAUUGUUUUGACGUUACCGACAGAAUAAGCACCGGCUAACUCUGUGCCAGCAGCCGCGGUAAUACAGAGGGUGCAAGCGUUAAUCGGAAUUACUGGGCGUAAAGCGCGCGUAGGUGGUUCGUUAAGUUGGAUGUGAAA
rnacentral:rRNA from 1 species